UUCAAAUACAGUAGACCCAUGCAGGCUGAACACAGAAGCAACCGUAAAACACAUCUGGCAAAACAAAUUUAUUGGAUUCCCAAAAAAAAAUCAUUACAGUUUGGAUUGUUCAACUUGUGCCGGAGUUUGUGUUCAACCACUUGUUUACUGUAACAUUUCCCUUCCAUUGGGCGGAUGACAUGGCAGGGAUCUGGUCCAACACAUGGGGGUUCUUUAAGUUGGAAAUAUGCAUAAAGUGGUCAUUAAACAAGGCCUUCAGUGGUAAUGGGCAUUACAAAAUAGGGGCUAACUUGAAACACAUGCUCACUCGUAAAAUCCAACCAGGAUGUUCAUUCUCUCUGCAGGAAGAGAGAAGCCCAGCUACAUAAAGAACAGACAAAUUACAUGGAGAUCAUCGGAACACUACAAACACUACUCAUGGACUAAAACCUUCAUUCCAUUGAUGUUAUUACAGAUAAUAGAGAUCAGGAAGCUAUUAGUUUAUAUAAAUGUCAUUAUUACAAAUGUAACGUAAAAUAAAUACCUAAAUAUAGUUAAAUAUAUCUGCUGUUAUAAUUAGAUAUGAGUUCAUUUAUAAUAAAGUAUGUCUAUGAUAGUUACAUUUAUCACAAAAACGAAUUAAACGUGGCGGACCUUAAGAAAUUAUGUAAUAUUGACUAAUAACAGGAUAUAUGUUCUUGAAAAAUAUACAACAUUAACCGAGGUACACACAUUUGGUACCCUCUCAGUUAGCCCAGAAUCCUACACAGCCACCCAGAGGAUUGAUACCCCACUUCCUGUCUGGUGACUGAUCUGGUUGACACGCCCACGCACACAGUCCAAGGUGAAGAACACUGCCGUGCCGUUCCGCACCUGGAAGGAUGCCCGUAGAGCCACACUGGCCCAAUGGCUGCAGGAGUGGAUGAGUUUAAGGUCCAGUGCCAUGCUUGCCGUGCCACUCUCCCUGAAGACGAAGUCUCGUUUCUGCUCUCUGGGACCCUUCACCGUCAUGGCCAUCUGGGGGACCUGGGGCGAGGUCUGCUGGAAGAACAGGGGUUUGUUACGGACGGCCCCGGACAGGAGGCCCGCUUGGGCCACGGACGCUGCCAGUGAGGAGGAGAUGGCGGCAGGCACCCAAACCAGACUAAGGAUGCUGAUGCCUGUACCGUCGCCGAAGUAGCGCACGUUGCACUGGGCAGGGCAGAGCACUUCAAAGGCCAGUGUGUCCCCAUGGUCAACCCUGGCUGCCCCGGACAGUGAGACGGAGGUGUCCCGGUAGUGGACGCCUGGUUUGAAGGUGCGGGACAGCUCCACGCCGGUGCCAUUGUGGUUCAGGUAUGCCAAGAGAUGGAAGCCCUCGUUGACGCAGGCCUGGCCCAUGGAGUACAGCGCCUGCUGGAAGACAAAGCGCACGGUGCCACUCUCUGAGAAGCGCACACCCCGCCCGUCAUGGGUCAGUCCCAGCACGUAGGGGUCCGAGGCAAAGGUGGUCUUGAACACGGGGCGGUAGUUUGUGUGGUAGUGGGCUGAGGCCACCGCCUGCGCUGUCAUUGCGACCGCUCCGGUGUCGUGGGACAGCCAGAGGAGACUUAGGGGAGAGCCCGGUGGGUUGUACAGCUGCAGCCCGUCGCUAUGGUUACAGUGUUGUGUGGCGCUCUUCAGGAACAGGGAUAUGAGGUAACCGGGGGCAACCACCGCCACUCCACUGAUGCUUGCACUUUGCAGCGAGCGGCCCUCCCGCUGCUCCACACGCACACCGCUGAGGUCGCGUCCCUCUUCGGAGCCGUCGUCCGUGGUGUUGAGAUGCAGGCACACCUGGACGAAGCUGCGACAGCCGUGGCUCAGGGACAGGUUCUCAUCCAGCCACACCAGGCCGUGCUGCAUCAGCACCAGCCGGCCGUCCUCCGCUGACACCAGCUCCCCGUCCUCCCGGCCCUGGAUCUGCAGGGCCACGAUGGGAAGGCUGUGGCCCAAGGCCUGGCCCCGGGACGCCGGGGGAAGGUCCACCUCACCCGCCCAGGAGAGCGAGAGGGAGAGGGGGGAUGAGGCGUCGCCAGAGGGUGAGGUGGAGCACACGGUGUCAGUGGUGAAGGUGCAGUGCGCCACCACGGGGUCCCCCUCGCACUCAGAGCAGGCCUGGCACUCGUCCAUGUCGAUGUUGAAGAAGUAGCCAUGGCUGCACAUCCCUGAGUUGGCAUCGCGCUCUGUCAUGCCCUGGCAUCUGAAGCCGCCUGGGGGGCAGCACAGAGGCAGCAGAUCAAUAGUCAGGUUUUUAUACGCUGAACGGGGAUUAAAUACAGAGUUUGAAGUGUUUUCCUUUUACCUGGAGUGUUGAGACACUUUUGUGAGUCUCCACAUUGGUUUGUUACCUCAAGGCAUUCGUCUCUGUCCUAGAACAUUCACAAAAAGACUACAAUCAAAACACUUUCAAACUAUUUGCACAUCAAGUAAUUGUCGGGACAACUUUGCCGGCCUCAUAUCGGUGUUGAGUCUAGCUUAGAACACCCCUCAUUCACCAAGAGACCAAAUAUUAAUUUGUCCAAAUAUUGUGACAAUUAAUUGGUCAAACUGAAAACGAACAAUAUGCUACAUGUUCACACUGUAAAUAUAUUUGUGAAUAUACUGGCACAUUUUCUUUUAAUUGCUUGUUUUAACUAUUACGCCUUACAUAUAAAUAACUAGAUUAAGUUAUCGUUGCAACAAAUUAUUUUACCAUAUUAAUUAUUGUCUACUCAUUUUAGUAUAGACUACCAGUAUAGUAACAAUUACUAUCAAAAACCCUACUGUAAAUUAAGACAAAACAUUUAUAAACAUAUUGUACUACAGUUGUAUUUAAUUACUACAACACAUUAUUGUACAGACUGACAAUGCAUCCAAUUUGAUGAAAAUAGGACUGAAAAGAGAGACUUCCCAUGCCAGGAUCUAUGUAUUUCCUGACUGUUGAGUUAACUUUGAGUUCAACUAUGUUGUCCAUUUCCUAAAUUAAAUCAACCCUAGCCAUCACUGAAACACAGACAAAUAACUUGCAACUCCCCAUUCACUUCCACUUAUACUUGUUUGCUUGGAAAGAUCUGGGUGACCAGAAGCACUAGGUCCUAGACGCACUAGGUUCUUGACGAGAACAAUGCUCCAUGACUUUAUGUCCGGCAGGCUGAGCUGCCAAUGCCAAUGUGUCUCUAAUGUUAGGAACCCCUUUGUUGAACAGAUUCUAGCCGGCGCUACUGAUGCAAGUAGUGUCUGAAACUCAAAAUUCCCCUGCUGGAGCAGAAAGAACUUUCACCAUCUGUGUUAGACGAGCAAGAGAGUCAUUGGGAUCGGUGGACACAUGAACAGCAGCAUAUUAUGGCUGCUGAUUCUGCCAUGAAAGUAACCAGAACUUUGUGGGUACGUUUUCUGUUUAGCUGGAGGAAAAUACAUUCUAAAAUACAUUCUACUUGCAAGCCCAAUCAUACUCUCUCAAAUCUCUCCAAAAUGUGGAGCAUGUGGGAGAACCAAGGUCCAGAUCUUUUCUGACAUUGAAGUCUUCUCAGCUGAUUGAUCCAUAUUUGAAGGUGCACAUAAGCAAGCAUCAGCAAAAUUGGUCCAACAGUCCAAAGAGCUCUACUUGACUUGACCUCUGAAAGCCAGGAAAUGCUGUGAAUUAUACAACCUGACGUUUCAAGGAAUUCAAUUACUCCCAUAUGAACUGCCCUUGCGUUUGUCAACGGAGGGUCUUGUGAGCGGCAAUCGGCAGGAAGACUCUCAACAUGGUAGUGGGCUCUGAGUCUCCUGCAAGUUACACCUGCUGGAUGGUGUUGCUUACUUCAAAAACAGGAAAAAACAGCUUGCCAAAGGCAAGCUGUCUCAACUGCUCUCUCUUUGAAUGGUCGACCUUGAAGGGAAGUCUGUUAAAGAUAUUGACUCGCAUGAUGGAUUAACCGAAAGGGUCUUUUCAUCCAGACUGAGAUUUGAAUCAAGGUGGAAAAAUUGGAAGCUGUGAACAAAGUUGUUUGGUCGAUGGGAAAAUGCUCAAGGUAGACGCUUCAGGAAGAAUAUCUGCAUCUGAACUAGGAUCCACGUAGGAUCCUAGUUCGCUUAGGAAUCUGGGAGUUUGCCAUUGGUGUCCUUUAUGACCUGCAGUGAUGGACCAUGUGGCAUAAUCUAUAGGGUUUUGUUCUGUAGGCACAUGGUGCCACUAGGCUGAACAAGAAGAUAUACAGAUCUAAGAUAUAUAGAUACUACUCAGUUACUAACAGAGAAAUAAAAACGUCUUGUCUUGUAACAGAUGUAACCAAGGACCACUGUGCCGUCUGUGCGGAAGGUUGCAGCAUCGAGCUGAAGGUCUAGCUCUGCUGAGAUGAGCCAACUCCAUCACAGCUCCAAAGAGUUAAUGUCUUGGUAUGGUGGGCUCAGGAUGAGGAGCCAGCUUUACUUUUCCCAUGACAAGCCUACCUGGUCACUCCCAUCAGUGUUGGUUAUCUUCAGGUAAGCAACUGAAGAAAAGUUCUUAGUGCUGCUGAAGCUGAAAACUUUGUGUAGCAUCUGGCGAUCUGAAGACUUGACCAGAUCUUUUAAGGAAUACCUCUUACUAAUCCAUGCCUCCUCCCUUUCUGGGGAAAACAAGGAAUCCCUGUUGACAAGUAUUCCUUCAGUUCCAUGAGUAUGGACUAACCUUGGAGAGUGACUGGUGCGACAAAGCCCAGCGAUAAAGAGAUUACUGAUGCUGGACAAGACACCCAGUUGAGUGGUAACUUCGAAGAAGAAUCUAUCUGCCUUGAGGUCCAAAUUUAACCGAGGCUGGGUUGAAUGACCACCUAGAGAUCUAGGUCUUUAAUAUCAGUGGCAUGAUCUUGGGACAGAAACUUGGCGUUAUUGUUACACACCUAUACAAUGUCGGCUGUGAAUGCGAAGGCUUCCUCUUUAUAUUGUAUCUGCACACCCAGAGUGAUAUUUAAGUUAGGCCCUGUUAACAUCACAUUGUUGAGCGAAACUCCUAUGUACAAGGCUCUAGACCCAAACAAACGCGUUCUCUAAACUUCUGAGUGGAGAUGGACAUCAGAGGGUGAUGCUGUGCUCUUGAGCCAGAUCUUUCUUUUGGUUCCUGGGAGCCUGUUCAAGUUGGAGGGCUGUGUGAUAUUCAUCACUGCCGCAUUCAAAACAUUGACCAUGAGGCGCAGCAUCUAAAACAAAUAAUAUUGUGAUUGAAUGGAAGCUUCUUCACUAUGGGAUUAACACCUCUUGCCCUUUUGAGGAUGGAAAGGUCAUGAAAAGCUACCCUCUGCCUUUGCUGACUGGAGCUCUAUCAGCAAGUCGUUUAAGUUUCUCAGCUUUCGAUAGUCUGUCUUAGUUUUUCUAAGACGCAAUAAACAUUAUUUUACGUAUGCUACCAGAGGCAUUGCAUUUAAACAGAGGUUGCUGAUCAAAAUGGGAACUGAAAAAUGAAACUCAGCGCCAGGGACCACUUGAUUUCUUACAUUACAUAACAACGGCAACUUAACAUUAACAACCAUUACAAAACCACAAAAGGACUAGGGUUAGGGUUAGGGUAAGCUGGUU
ensembl:lncRNA